rnacentral:lncRNA from 1 species
CUGCCUGUUAAAUCAGUUUCUGGACCACAGGUUCUAGAACAGCUUCUAUCCCAGUUCUAUCUGCCUGUUAAAUCAGUUUCUGGACCACAGGUUCUAGAACAGCUUCUAUCCCAGUUCUAUCUGCCUGUUAAAUCAGUUUCUGGACCACAGGUUCUAGAACAGCUUCUAUCCCAGUUCUAUCUGCCUGUUAAAUCAGUUUCUGGACCACAGGUUCUAGAACAGCUUCUAUCCCAGUUCUAUCUGCCUGUUAAAUCAGUUUCUGGACCACAGGUUCUAGAACAGCUUCUAUCCCAGUUCUAUCUGCCCGUUAAAUCAGUUUCUGGAUCACAGGUUCUAGAACAGCUUCUAUCCCAGUUCUAUCUGCCCGUUAAAUCAGUUUCUGGACCACAGGUUCUAGAACAGCUUCUAUCCCAGUUCUAUCUGCCCGUUAAAUCAAUUUCUGGACCCCAGGUUCUAGAACAGCUUCUAUCCCAGUUCUAUCUGCCCGUUAAAUCAGUUUCUGGACCACAGGUUCUAGAACAGCUUUUAUCCCAGUUCUAUCUGCCCGUUAAAUCAGUUUCUGGACCACAGGUUCUAGAACAGCUUCUAUCCCAGUUCUAUCUGCCCGUUAAAUCAGUUUCUGGACCACAGGUUCUAGAACAGCUUCUAUCCCAGUUCUAUCUGCCUGUUAAAUCAGUUUCUGGACCACAGGUUCUAGAACAGCUUCUAUCCCAGUUCUAUCUGCCCGUUAAAUCAGUUUCUGGACCACAGGUUCUAGAACAGCUUCUAUCCCAGUUCUAUCUGCCCGUUAAAUCAGUUUCUGGACCACAGGUUCUAGAACAGCUUCUAUCCCAGUUCUAUCUGCCUGUUAAAUCAGUUUCUGGACCACAGGUUCUAGAACAGCUUCUAUCCCAGUUCUAUCUGCCUGUUAAAUCAGUUUCUGGACCACAGGUUCCAGAACAGCUUCUAUCCCAGUUCUAUCUGCCUGUUAAAUCAGUUUCUGGACCACAGGUUCUAGAACAGCUUCUAUCCCAGUUCUAG